CUUCAGCGGUGGGUGCUCCUGGAGGAGGAGAUUCCAGCACCAGCUUGCCCUGAACUGAGAUGUGAAGAUGGGAGCUCUGUCUGUGCAAGUGAAGGGAGCGGUGUCUGCUCUGUUCUUGCGUUCAGCCUGCAACAGUCUCUGGGAUAUUGUAGCAGCCUGUUUAUUGAUGACCUGCUUUUCUGAAUGGUCGGCCACUGUUUUCGGGCAGAAUACAAGGAGGACUAAUAAUUGUAGAUGGAGCUGAUCUCCCAGUGUAAGAACGGCAUUGCUUGGAAGCCAGCAAAGCGGACAGGAACUUUAGCUGAAGACGGCCAAAUGCGUGAGUAUGGUGGGGAGGUGGGGAAGGACAGAUUCCCCUCCAGUGCCCAGCCUGGAUCUGUGCUGCCUUCGCUUCUUCAUUUUGACCUGUUGCAGGUGACUUAAUAAAUGUUGUCUCUCUCGUAAGGGCUGUCUUGUGUGGCUGCUCUCUGCUAAUGUUAUAGUUCUGCCUUCUCCGCACCCACUGGCUGCCCUCUCUGCCAUCCCGCAACUGUGAAGCUCCCACAACAUUGCUGUCACGUUGUUUUACUUGCACGUGUGUUCUUCCUCUACUCUGGCUCCAUCUUGCCUCCUUAGAUUAGAAGUCCCGCGGGGCCAAAGCUGACUGUCUGCUCUGUUGGUGUGGCGCUUGGCUUGCUGAGGCCCUCGGGCACUGUGGUAAUAAAUGUGAUGGUGCAUAGCAGGGUGGGGAGGGCCUGCUGCCUUAAUCUGGCUGAGAMACUGGAGCUCAGAGCCCUGGUCAGAGCUGGGGAGCUGCAGAGCUCCCUCCCUGCCAGGAGUGGAAACCUAGGACUGGUCGCUGGUAGGGUGCCCUCUUGAGACCGCCUAAAGGUAGCAGCUGUGUUCGUUCACUGAAUCAAAAACGUGGAAAAUCCAGACAGUGUCUUUCAGUUUUGCUGGCGUCAGAUCUUAGUCUUAAAUGUGUCAGAGGAUUUCUGGAGACUACCUAAGCUCUACAUGCAGUCAAAUCCAAUGGACCAUUAAAGCCUCAGGUACUUGGGAAGAAAAAGUAGCCUUUGGAAAAUUGCCAUGUGAAGAGAGGCCUAUGGAAGCGAGGAGGGCGUUGAGGGAUGCGUGUAAGAGCAGCGCUGGGGCUGACUUCCCUGGCGACUGGCUUGGCGCWCUGUCUGCUGGAAGGGAGUCCCAGGGCUACGGCCAGAAGUGCUCCGGGRCCGCCUAGCCUGGGCCGCGGCGAGACGAUCCCAUCUCUCGGGUGUGGAUCUUGAAAAGAGUUUUCAGUGUUUGUUAUUUAUGCGGUGCUGCAGCUUUUGUAGCGCAGCUUUUCCGGUGUGCUAGUGCCACUUGUGAAGAUGCGGUGCUGGGGUUAGCGCUGACUGUGGAGAGCAGCGGGGGGCUGCCGGCAGUAUCGUUGGGGACAUGGGACUGGCCAGUACAUACAAAACCACGGAUGAGCAUCAGCCCAGUGCGGUGCCUUUGGCUGUGUCCAGCUCCUGGUCCUUCAAAGGGAGGCACCGCAAGUAGCGGGAAGGAGCAAUGUAAGCCCCAUGUCGUGCCUUGAAGUGUGGUGGGUGCUGGAUCACUCACGACUGCACAGCUGCUGGCUCUUCUCUGCUGCGAGUGGCAGCACAGAAGAUGUCCAGGACGCUGCAGGAGAUACUCCUGCCAUUUCAGACUUGCCAGACAGUAAAUGUGAUGGUCAAAAUAAGACCCAGAGGACUUUCAGGUCCUGGGGUAGACACAGACUGUGGUGGUGAUCUGUGCUGUCUAGUUGCACGGGGGACCCCUGGAUAACG
ensembl:lncRNA